rnacentral:rRNA from 1 species
AGCUUGACACUGAACAUUGAGCCUUGAUGUGUAGGAUAGGUGGGAGGCUUUGAAGUGUGGACGCCAGUCUGCAUGGAGCCAACCUUGAAAUACCACCCUUUAAUGUUUGAUGUUCUAACGUUGCCCCAUAAUCUGGGGUGCGGACAGUGUCUGGUGGGUAGUUUGACUGGGGCGGUCUCCUCCCAAAGCGUAACGGAGGAGCACGAAGGUUGGCUAAGCAUGGUCGGACAUCAUGCGGUUAGUGCAAAGGCAUAAGCCAGC